GUCUUCUUGAUUUUAUAAGAAGUCUGACCUGCCCGGUGAAUAAGUAUUUAACGGCCGCGGUAUUUUGACCGUGCAAAGGUAGCAUAAUCAUUAGUCUUUUAAUAGAGGGCUGGAAUGAAGGGUUUGACGAAAUGCUUACUGUCUCAUUUAAUUUGAAAUUUGAAUUUAACUUUUUAGUUAAAAGGCUAAAUUGUUGUUGGAAGACGAGAAGACCCUAUAGAGCUUUAUAUUUUAAAAUUUAAAGAAUUUUUGUUUAAUUAUUAUUUUUUAAAUGGAGACUUAUUUUGUUGGGGUGACAAAAACAUAUGAUAAACUUUUUUAUUUAGAUAACAUUGAUUUAUGAAUAUUAGAUCCAUUAUUAUUGAUUGAUAGAGAAAGUUACCUUAGGGAUAACAGCGUAAUCUUCCUUCAGAGUUCAAAUUUACAGGAAGGCUUGCGACCUCGAUGUUGGAUUAAGAUAAUAAUUAGGUGUAGCCGCUUAAUUAAUAGGUCUGUUCGACCUUUAAAUUCUU
rnacentral:rRNA from 1 species